AACCCUGCCCCCGCCAGGAAAGCCGCGGGGCUGGCGGCCGGAGGGCCCUGGGCGGUGGCUGAGGGGGCGGGCGGCCCGGGCGGCGCCGCGUCUCCGUCCUUAUAAGGGAUUCAAGUCAGCCCAGCCAUUUGGAAUGUGGCGGGGGCCGGGAGGCGGUGCUGGGACCCCCGCCCUGCUCGCGGAUUCCGGCGGGGGAAGGGGGGCAGAGCCCGGGCGCCGGGUCGCAGGAGGAGAAGCCUGCACGUUCGAAUUUCUGGGUCCUUCAAAAUGUGAGUUCUGGGUCCCCAUAAAGUGGGCCGGGAGCCUGGACCCCCCCCCCACAAGAGCGUCUCUAAGAGAGGAGUGGCUGUGUACCCGGACCCCUGGGUUCGCCUUGCGGACGCCUCCCGCCCCGCGGCGGGAAACUGUGCACAGUGUUGGAAUCCAGUCCAGAGAGAGUGGCCACACCUCCCAGCACCUCCCGUAAGGCUGGUCUCCCAGGUACAGCUGGACCUCCCGGGCCACCUCCCGCUUCCCCCGACCCGUUAGGAGGAAGUUGGGACAGGCCCAGGAGGCAGAGGGCGGGCCACAGUCAGUUAAGUCUCCCCUGGAAGGUAAGUUAGCGCACGGACCACCCGGAGAGGAGGAGUCCGUCUCCACUCUCAGAGCCCCCAGCCGUCGCCUGAGGUCAGAGCUCAGGAAAGAACUGCCAGAGACCCGAGGAGGGAGAGGAAAACACCCUUUGGCUUCGUGGAGAAGCUGAGGAUUUCGCUGCCACGCCCAGUCCUCUCCCCACCUCCACGCCAGACACCACACCCCAUCACUCCGCAAACUCAGAAGCGCGCCCCGUGCUGUCAGCACCAAAGGGCCCAGCUCCAUCUUCACUUUGGGACCACGGGUGCUGAAGCUCCAUCUCUGGCCUUUUGAGUCUAAAGUUCGGAUUCUGCCCCCUGGAUGCGGAGGAGGGACUGAAGACAUUUGGAAUCCCUCUGCACCCAAGAAUCCUGGACGCUGCUCCCACUCUAGGGGGGUCCUGCAGCCUCACCUUACGGGCCUGUGGCGGCUGCGGCUGGUGCAAAAGCGACAGCUGCAGACUAGGAGGGUCUGCGGUCUGGGUGCGGUUGGAGGGCCGGGGAGUGAGCGCGGGCAGGGCUGGGGGCGGGGCCGGAGCUCUGGGCUGGAGCCGAGUAAGGGACACCCCCUGCCAGGGCUAUCCCAGUCCCGCCCCGAGGGCGGGGCCAAGAUAAGACCACAUCCCCAGAGAUAAAUACACAGCAGCUCUCCCGCCCCCGCCAGCGGUAGGGGUGGAGGGCUGAGGUCACCGUUUCCGUGGUAACAAAACAGGAAGACACAACAGCUGGCGGAGUGGAUGCUCCUGGGGGUGCCCUCCUCGACACAGCACUGGAGGUCUCCAGAGCAGUCCCGGGGAAGGCCGUUGCCAUGGCAACCCGUCUAUUUAGACUUUGUUUAGGACAGAGCCCCCCAGCUCAGGUCCCCACCCCAGUCUCACCUCAGUCCGUUCUCCCUCUCCCUUCCUGGCCCUGCUCUUCCAGGAUGGACGAAAUUUUGGACUUCUAGGUCGCGGUGGGUUGGGGGACUGGGCCUCUCAAUUUAAUGGGGUCUGUUUGCUAGGGUCUGUGUCUCCUGGGUCCCUGAAAUAGGAAAGAGUUGAGGGUGUGCCGAUCCCUAGGCUUUAGGGGGUUUCUGGGCUGAGGUCCCCGACUCCUGGCUCCCCAAAAGAACAGUGGUUCGAUUCCUGUAAGUAAGGAAUUUGAGGGAAGAGCAGAAUGGGUCUCCUAAUGCCCAUUUACACUGGGAUUCGCGGUGUAAGGGACUGAUGGGCCAGACCCCUAGGUCCCAUAUGUCCCUGUCGAUGGGGGCAGGGGAGGGGGGUUGUUGGUAGCAGGACUUCUGAGAUCGAGGCCAUAGGAGUUGGGGGCAUGGACUCCGAGGCCGCGGGCCCAGAAUCUUGGCUCAAAAGAGCAAUUGCGGCUCAGGCUCCUGGGUUUUCGGAGCAGAUGUGGUUGCUAGCCAGGCCUCUUGGGUCUGUAAGGGAGAGAUAUUUUUGGCUUGCAAUCCUGGCUCCUGAAAAGAGGGAGGGGCUCAGAAGCUUAAU